GACGAACGCUGGCGGCGUGCUUAACACAUGCAAGUCGAGCGGUAAGGCCCCUUUGGGGGUACACGAGCGGCGAACGGGUGAGUAACACGUGGGUGACCUGCCCUCAGCUCCGGGAUAAGCCUGGGAAACUGGGUCUAAUACCGGAUAUGACUCCAUGACGCAUGUUGUGGGGUGGAAAGCCUUGUGCGGCUGGGGAUGGGCCCGCGGCCUAUCAGCUUGUUGGUGGGGUGAUGGCCUACCAAGGCGACGACGGGUAGCCGGCCUGAGAGGGCGACCGGCCGCACUGGGACUGAGACACGGCCCAGACUCCUACGGGAGGCAGCAGUGGGGAAUCUUGCGCAAUGGGCGAAAGCCUGACGCAGCGACGCCGCGUGAGGGAUGACGGCCU
rnacentral:rRNA from 1 species